UACGUAGGGGGCAAGCGUUAUCCGGAUUUACUGGGCGUAAAGCGCGUGUAGGCGGUUGCGUAAGUUGGUUGUGAAAUCCCUCGGCUCAACCGGGGAACUGCAGCCAAUACUGCGCGGCUUGAGUGGCAGAGAGGAAAGUGGAAUUCCCGGUGUAGUAGUGAAAUGCGUAGAUAUCGGGAGGAACACCAGUGGCGAAGGCGGGUCUCUGGGCCGAAACUGACGCUGAGGAGCGAAAGCGUGGGGAGCGAACAGG
rnacentral:rRNA from 1 species